AUGGACAAAAGGCACUCAGACCAUUCAGACCUCCUCGUAGCCCAGUGUUUUCCCAACGCAUCCAUCAGUGGACCAGCAGCAAGAACAGUGGCUUCUAAAGAAUGGGGCUGCUCCUACCUGUGCUUCUGUCCCCUCAGGCAUCUGCAUAUUGAAAGCAGCUUGCAGCCACCUUUCCAAUGUGUAGCACUUUUUAUCUUAAUCAAGUGUUCUGUGUGUUGGGAAGCAGCACCCUCUGGCAGGUGGCAACACUGAUAGGGGUCAUAGGCUCACUGCAAGCAGAAGCUGGAGUUUUAAUACAGAUUCCGCACUUGAUCUUAGCCAAAAGGCCGGGAAGCGAUGAUACAGAUUCCAUUGAAUCUAAAGAUGAAUUUGCAGAGUUUCAUCAACCUAACAAGUCUUCCAAGGCAUGAACCUGGCUAUCCUUUUGUUUAUUUGGGAAUUUAAUUUUUCAGCAAUGUUUGUAGCUUUUUUGUUGUUGUUGUUAAGUCCUCCCAGGUAUUUAAUUCUUUUUUUUUUUUUUGGUACUAGGGAUUAAACUCGGGUCCUUGUGCUUGGGAGACAGGCCACCGAACUGCUGAGCUAAAUCCCCGGCCCCCCAGGUAUUUAAUUCUUGUUGAUGCCAUUAUAAAUGAAAUUUUCUUCAUUUUAUUUUUCAGAUUUUUCAUUGCUAACAUAGAGGUACAACUUAUAUUUUUCAUUGCUGGAGAUCAAACAAACCCAGGGCCUCAUACAUGCUGUGUAAACACUCUACCACUGAACUACACACCACUAUCUAUCUUUGGUUCUGAUCUUGUAUCCUGCAUCAUUGCUGAACUUGUUUCCUUAGUCCUAUUAGUUUUCAAGAAUUUCUUAGACCCUUUCUUUCUUGCUUGCUUUCUUGCUUUUCUUUUCUUCUUUCUUUCUUUCUUUCUUUUUUUUUUUUUUGGUACCAGGGAUCGAACAACUCAGUACCUUGCACCUUCAAGGCUGGCACCACUGAGCUAAAUCCUCGGCCCUCUUUCUGUCUUUUCUAUAUUCAGGAUUACAUCAUCCAUGAAUAGAGAUGGUUUUACCCUUUCCUUUCUAGUCUGGAUGCUUUAUAUCUUUUUAUUGCCUAAGUCCCCUGGCUAGAACCUCCAGCAAAAUGUUGUUUAGAAGUGAGGAGAACAGACAUCCUUAUCUUAUUCUGGAUCUUAGAAGGAAAGCCUUCAGCC
rnacentral:lncRNA from 1 species